rnacentral:lncRNA from 1 species
GAUAGUUGAGGUUGGUCAGUACCUCCUCUAUGACGAGACCAUAAUGAUGGGACAUGUCGUUAUAUUUAUUGUUCUUCUUGGACACCUUGUCACUCAAUUUUGUCUCCAAAAUUUAUCCGUUGUCACAUUACUGAUUUAUGUAAAUUUUUCUUUCACUUUCAUCUUCCAUCUUCCAUCUCGGCUAUGUUUAAUUGAGUGUUUCCUUCUUUUUUUAGUUGGAUUGAUGCACUUGAGCCGAAGGUCUUUCAUAAACAAUCUCUUUAUCUCCACGAAGUAGUGGUAAGAUUUGCAUACUCUCAACCUUCUUUAUACCCUACUAAGUGGGAUUACACUAGGUAUGAUGUUGCUGAUGAUGAUUAUUAUUUUCAUGAGGAAAAAAUAUGGAAAAGUUCCUUCUAGUGUUGACAUUUUUAUAUAAAUAAUUUUUAAGGUGGAAAGUUCCUAUCUUAAAAAUUGAAUUACCAUUUUGCCCCUCUAGUAAAUUAAUAAUUUAAUUAAAUAUCUAAUUAAAUAAUAAUAUUUUAAUUAUCUAAAGAUUGAAUUAUAUAAAUACAUCUUCCUCAUAUUAAAAAAUGUAAUUGACCUAGAUUUAGAAUGAAUUGUCACCCAAAAAUAGAAGGGAAAAACACUCUAGAUAGAAGUUUUUCAAACAAACUAAAAAUUCAAAGUUCCUCUUUCUCCUAUCAAGAUGGUGAUUUUCUAAUCGAACAAGAAUGAAUCAUAGUCGGUUCUAAAAGAGGUAACAAAAAAAAUCUGACUUAACACAAAUAUAAAUUGGUUGAAAAAUAAAUAAUGAAUAUCAAAUAGUAAGAAUAUAUAAACUAAUAUAUUCAUAUGUGAUUUUACCAUUUCCUUGUAUUGCUAGCAUAUACUUUUUCUUUUAUGAACUUGAUCAAAAUGAUAGAGUAUUGGCACAACAUGAGGAAAUAUUUUGCCACACACUCGACAUGCAAUUAAAUUAGUAUAAAUCAUUGUUAUGUUUCUCUUAACUAAGUUGAAUUAAUAUAUGAUUUAACUUACUUAAAAGAAAAAUAACAUAUACUUAUACUAAUUUAAUUGCAUGUCAAGUGUGUGACAAAAUAUUGCUUUAUGAUUUACCACUACUCUAUCAUUUUGAUCAAGUUUAUGGAAGAAAAUGUUAUAUUCUAACAAUACUACGAAAUGCUAAAAAAUAAUGCAUGAAUAUGUUAGUUUAUAUAGUAUUAUUAUUUGAUAUUCAUUAUUUAUUCGUCGACAAAUUUAUAUUUGCGUUAAGUCAAUUUUUUUUGUUAACUCUUUAGGACCGACUAUGAUUCAUUUUUGUUCGAUCAGAAAAUCACAAUCUUAAUAAGAACUUUGAAUUUUUAGUUUGUUUAAAACUUUCUUACAAGGGAAAGCAUUUUUAUCUAGGAUGUUUCUCCCUUCUAUUUUUAGAUGGUGAUUCAUUCUAAAUCGACGCAAAUCAACAUUUUUUACAUGAGGAAGAUGAACUUUGAAUUAUUAGUUUAAGUAAAACUUCCUUACCAGGGCAUCGAUCUAACCAGAGUGAAAUCAAAAGUUAUGUUGGAGUUGUUCACUGGUAGUAUAGUUAUGACACCAAUACUAUUUCCUACCAAAUUUAGCAUCUACUUCUUUAGCAUUAUGUUCCUUAACUCUUAUCUUCAAAGAAGACAAUAAGCCUUAUGUUAUUUUGUCCAAGAUAAACAAUGAACUCUUUUUGCUUAUAAGACUUACUAAUUUUUUAACACGUGGGGUUAUAUGAGUUCAUUUUUGAGUACGUGUGUUGCAUGGGCCUCUAACGUUCUGUGUAAUUAAGUUCAUAAUGAUAGUUGAGGUUGGUCAGUACCUCCUCUAUGAUGAGACCAUAAUGAUGGGACAUGUCGUUACAUUUUUUCAAGCUUGAUUAGCCAAUUAACGACCAUCCAUGUGGGGCACGUGCGUUGCACGAGUAGUACAAGUGAUUUAGUAUAAGAUUUUGCAUAAUCAUAUAAGAUUGUUGGAAUAUGUUAGUGCUACAUACACUGUAUAAGGAAAGUAAAAAUUUCAUGAAUAUGGUA